rnacentral:rRNA from 1 species
GACAGAGGGUGCAAACGUUGUUCGGAAUUACUGGGCGUAAAGCGUGCGUAGACGGUCAUGUAAGUCGGGUGUGAAAGCCCCGGGCUCAACCUGGGAAUUGCAUUCGAGACUGCAUGGCUAGGAUGCGGAAGAGGGAAGCGGAAUUUCCGGUGUAGCGGUGAAAUGCGUAGAUAUCGGAAGGAACACCAGUGGCGAAAGCGGCUUCCUGGUCCAGCAUCGACGUUCAGGCACGAAAGCGUGGGGAGCAAACAGG